rnacentral:rRNA from 1 species
AUUCCUAGUGAUUAGAGUUUGAUCAUGGCUCAGGAUGAACGCUGGCGGCGUGCUUAACACAUGCAAGUCGAACGAACCUUCGGGUUAGUGGCGGACGGGUGAGUAACGCGUGGGAAUCUGCCCUCAGGAGGGGGAUAACGGCUGGAAACGGCCGCUAAUACCCCAUAUGCCGAGAGGUGAAAUGAAUUUCGCCUGAGGAUGAGCCCGCGUCUGAUUAGCUAGUUGGUGAGGUAAGAGCUCACCAAGGCAUCGAUCAGUAGCUGGUCUGAGAGGAUGAUCAGCCACACUGGGACUGAGACACGGCCCAGACUCCUACGGGAGGCAGCAGUGGGGAAUUUUCCGCAAUGGGCGAAAGCCUAACGGAGCAACGCCGCGUGGGGGAUGAAGGCCUCUGGGCUGUAAACCUCUUUUCUCAAGGAAGAAGAUCUGACGGUACUUGAGGAAUAAGCCACGGCUAAUUCCGUGCCAGCAGCCGCGGUAAUACGGGAGUGGCGAGCGUUAUCCGGAAUUAUUGGGCGUAAAGCGUCCGCAGGCGGCCCUUCAAGUCUGCUGUUAAAAAGUGGAGCUUAACUCCAUCAUGGCAGUGGAAACUGUUGGGCUUGAGUGUGGUAGGGGCAGAGGGAAUUCCCGGUGUAGCGGUGAAAUGCGUAGAUAUCGGGAAGAACACCAGUGGCGAAGGCGCUCUGCUGGGCCAUAACUGACGCUCAUGGACGAAAGCCAGGGGAGCGAAAGGGAUUAGAUACCCCUGUAGUCCUGGCCGUAAACGAUGAACACUAGGUGUCGGGGGAAUCGACCCCCUCGGUGUCGUAGCCAACGCGUUAAGUGUUCCGCCUGGGGAGUACGCACGCAAGUGUGAAACUCAAAGGAAUUGACGGGGGCCCGCACAAGCGGUGGAGUAUGUGGUUUAAUUCGAUGCAACGCGAAGAACCUUACCAGGGUUUGACAUCCUGCGAACCUCUUGGAAACGAGAGGGUGCCUUCGGGAACGCAGUGACAGGUGGUGCAUGGCUGUCGUCAGCUCGUGUCGUGAGAUGUUGGGUUAAGUCCCGCAACGAGCGCAACCCACGUCUUUAGUUGCCAGCAUUCAGUUGGGCACUCUAGAGAGACCGCCGGUGAUAAACCGGAGGAAGGUGUGGAUGACGUCAAGUCAUCAUGCCCCUUACAUCCUGGGCUACACACGUACUACAAUGCUACGGACAAAGAGCAGCAAGUUCGCGAGGACAAGCAAAUCUCAUAAACCGUGGCUCAGUUCAGAUCGUAGGCUGCAACUCGCCUACGUGAAGGAGGAAUCGCUAGUAAUCGCAGGUCAGCAUACUGCGGUGAAUACGUUCCCGGGCCUUGUAG